rnacentral:piRNA from 1 species
UUCAAACAGGAGCUUGUUAGGAUGACCUAGC